rnacentral:rRNA from 1 species
AACGAACGCUGGCGGCAUGCCUAACACAUGCAAGUCGAACGAAGGCUUCGGCCUUAGUGGCGCACGGGUGCGUAACGCGUGGGAACCUGCCCCUCGGUUCGGAAUAACAGUUAGAAAUGACUGCUAAUACCGGAUGAUGACUUCGGUCCAAAGAUUUAUCGCCGAGGGAUGGGCCCGCGUAGGAUUAGCUAGUUGGUGGGGUAAAGGCCUACCAAGGCGACGAUCCUUAGCUGGUCUGAGAGGAUGAUCAGCCACACUGGGACUGAGACACGGCCCAGACUCCUACGGGAGGCAGCAGUGGGGAAUAUUGGACAAUGGGCGAAAGCCUGAUCCAGCAAUGCCGCGUGAGUGAUGAAGGCC